UAAAAGUCGUAACAAGGUUUCCGUAGGUGAACCUGCGGAAGGAUCAUUAAAAAAUUGGCCUCCAUUGGUGAGUUCAUUAAUAAUCCCUACCCUUUGUGAAUUUGUUUGUUUGAAUAAUUUUUUUUCCAAAAAAAAUUAUUGAAUGUCUUUCCCUGUUUUGGUGGAGCUUGUAAAGUGAAACCAGGCAGGGGAAUGGCAAACAAUAAUUAUUUUUGAAAAAAGACCUUUUUUUAAAAUUAAACUUUUUGUAUUCAUUUGUCUAAAAUUAUUUUUAUAAUAUAAAAACAACUUUUGACAAUGGAUCUCUUGGUUCUCGCAACGAUGAAGAACGCAGCAAAAUGCGAUAAGUAGUGUGAAUUGCAGAAUACGUGAAUCAUCGAAUCUUCGAACGCAUAUUGCACUUUUUUAGUUUACUAAAAAGUAUGUCUGUUUGAGUAUCAGUAAAAUAUUCUCAUAAAAAACAUUGUUUUUUUAUGGUUAUGAGUGUUUUACAACGAUAACAAGUUGUUUCACUUUAAAUUCUUUGUUAUCAAAAAAUCAUUAAAAGCUAAUUUUAAAGAUUUUUUAAAAUUGGAUAAAAUUUUCCCGUAAAAAGGAAUAACCUAAACAAUUUUAAAAAAUUAAAAUUGGUUUGAUUUUUUUUGAAACCCAAAGGAAAAAAAACGAAAUUAACUUGAUCUCAAAUCAGAUAAGAGUACCCGCUGAACUUAAGCAUAUCAAUAAGCGGAGGAAAAGAAACUAACUAGGAUUCCCUCAGUAACGGCGAGUGAAGCGGGAAGAGCUCAAAUUUGAAAUCUUCAAGGUUUUACCUUGACGAAUUGUAGUUUAAAGAAGUGUUUUCUGUUGGAGUUUUGGUAAAAGUUCUUUGGAAAAGGACAUCAUAGAGGGUGAGAAUCCCGUAUUUGACCAUUAUCUCCAGCCUUGUGAUACACUUUCAAAGAGUCGGAUUGUUUGGGAAUGCAGUCCAAAAUGGGUGGUAAAUUUCAUCUAAAGCUAAAUACUGGCGAGAGACCGAUAGCGAACAAGUACCGUGAGGAAAGAUGAAAAGAACUUUGAAAAGAGAGUUAAACAGUACGUGAAAUUGUCAAAAGGGAAGCGUUUGACACCAGUGUUGUUUUCUCGAAAAUCAAUUAAAAAAGGCCGGAUUUUGUGUUGUAUUGACUUUAUCAGCUUUCUGCACUUUUUUCUUGUCUUUUUUAAUGCACUUUUCGUUUAACAAGUCAACAUCAAUUUCUUUUGUUGUAAAAGGGUCAUUGGAAGGUGGCUUUCUUUUCGGAGAAAGUGUUUAUAGCCUUUGGCCUCUGCAAUCGGAGAGAUUGAGGUCUGCAGCGUAGAUCCUUCGGGGUUAGAUACAUUUGUGCUAAGUUAUAGCCUUUCAUAGACAACUUGUUGACUAUGAUCAGUCAUGUAGCUUACUCGCUUAUGCUAUUUUACCUACGCUUAGGAUGUUGA
rnacentral:misc_RNA from 1 species